AGGACGAACGCUGGCGGCGUGCUUAACACAUGCAAGUCGAGCGGAAAGGCCCUUCGGGGUACUCGAGCGGCGAACGGGUGAGUAACACGUGAGCAAUCUGCCCUUAGCUUCGGGAUAGCCCCGGGAAACCGGGAUUAAUACCGAAUAUGACCUCGGCCGACAUCGGCUUUGGUGGAAAGUUUUUCGGCUAGGGAUGAACUCGCGGCCUAUCAGCUUGUUGGUGGGGUAAUGGCCUACCAAGGCGACGACGGGUAGCCGGCCUGAGAGGGCGACCGGCCACACUGGGACUGAGACACGGCCCAGACUCCUACGGGAGGCAGCAGUGGGGAAUAUUGCGCAAUGGGCGAAAGCCUGACGCAGCGACGCCGCGUGGGGGAUGAAGGCCUUCGGGUCGUAAAGCCCUGUCGGAGGGAAGAAAGCUCGCUGGCUAAUAUCCAGCGAGCCUUUGACGGUACCCUCAAGGAAGCACCGGCUAACUCCGCGCCAGCAGCCGCGGUAA
rnacentral:rRNA from 1 species